GAUGAACGCUGGCGGCGUGCUUAACACAUGCAAGUCGAACGGAAAGGCCCAAGCUUGCUUGGGUACUCGAGUGGCGAACGGGUGAGUAACACGUGGGUGAUCUGCCCUGCACUUCGGGAUAAGCCUGGGAAACUGGGUCUAAUACCGGAUAGGACGAUGGUUUGGAUGCCAUUGUGGAAAGUUUUUUCGGUGUGGGAGGAGCUCGCGGCCUAUCAGCUUGUUGGUGGGGUAAUGGCCUACCAAGGCGUCGACGGGUAGCCGGCCUGGGAGGGUGUACGGCCACAUUGGGACUGAGAUACGGCCCAGAGUCCUACGGGGGGCAGCAGUGGGGAAUAUUGCACAAUGGGCGCAAGCCUGAUGCAGCGACGCCGCGUGGGGGAUGACGGCCUUCGGGUUGUAAACUCCUUUCGCUAGGGACGAAGCGUUUUUGUGACGGUACCUGGAGAAGAAGCACCGGCUAACUACGUG
rnacentral:rRNA from 1 species